GCAGAAUUCAGUGAAUCAUCGAAUCUUUGAACGCAAAUGGCGCUCUUGGGUUCUCCCAGGAGCAUGUCUGUCUGAGUGUCUUUUUCGUUGAAUGACAUUCGCACGAUGUGGCCGUGUUAUGCACUGGCGUUUCGUGCGGCGUUGAGGUUCGCGGCCUUGCUAUUCUUAGGCCGCGUGCCUUUAAAAGGAGGAGGAAGAUGGGCUCAAGGUCCGGUGCAGUCGCAUGCGGAUUCAGUUCAUGUGCCGCAUGUGACUGCUGCACCGGGAAUAUUGUCCUCGGCCCUCUACCUCGUGACCUUUAGCACGACGCUCGUUCGUUCGUUCGUUCGUUCGUUCGUUCGUUCGUUCGUUCGUUGCUUGCCGCCAGACCUCAGAUCAGGCAAGGCUACCCGCUGAAUUUAAGCAUAUUAAUAAGCGGAGGAAAAGAAACUAACAAGGAUUCCCCCAGUAACGGCGAGUGAAGCGGGAAGAGCUCAAAUUUGAAAUCUCCGAUGCCUGCAUCGGCGAGUUGUAGUUGCGAGAAGCACUUUCUAGGCGGAAGGGCCCUGCCUAAGUUGCUUGGAACAGCACGUCGCAGAGGGUGACAACCCCGUCU
rnacentral:misc_RNA from 1 species